GCCCACCUUGGCCUCCCAAAGUGCUGGGAUUACAGGCAUGAGCCACUGCGCCCGGCCAAUACCUAAUAUUUUUAAGGGCCCAAUAUGUUCUGUGCA
rnacentral:miRNA from 1 species